rnacentral:rRNA from 1 species
UACGUAGGGCGCAAGCGUUGUCCGGAAUUAUUGGGCGUAAAGAGCUCGUAGGCGGCUUGUCACGUCGGGUGUGAAAGCCCGGGGCUUAACCCCGGGUCUGCAUUCGAUACGGGCUGGCUGGAGUUCGGUAGGGGAGAUCGGAAUUCCUGGUGUAGCGGUGAAAUGCGCAGAUAUCAGGAGGAACACCGGUGGCGAAGGCGGAUCUCUGGGCCGAUACUGACGCUGAGGAGCGAAAGCGUGGGGAGCGAACGGG